rnacentral:rRNA from 1 species
GUUAGUUAGUCUCGCGCAGAGAGAGACGCGCGGCGGCGUCGUACUAACACAUGACGAGUACGAAGUGAAGCCAAGCUUGCUUGGUGGAUCAGUGGCGAACGGGUGAGUAACACGUGAGCAACCUGCCCUGGACUCUGGGAUAAGCGCUGGAAACGGCGUCUAAUACUGGAUAUGAGACGUGAUCGCAUGGUCGUGUUUGGAAAGAUUUUUCGGUCUGGGAUGGGCUCGCGGCCUAUCAGCUUGUUGGUGAGGUAAUGGCUCACCAAGGCGUCGACGGGUAGCCGGCCUGAGAGGGUGACCGGCCACACUGGGACUGAGACACGGCCCAGACUCCUACGGGAGGCAGCAGUGGGGAAUAUUGCACAAUGGGCGGAAGCCUGAUGCAGCAACGCCGCGUGAGGGAUGACGGCCUUCGGGUUGUAAACCUCUUUUAGCAGGGAAGAAGCGAAGGUGACGGUACCUGCAGAAAAAGCGCCGGCUAACUACGUG